rnacentral:rRNA from 1 species
GGGUGGAUUAGUGGCGAACGGGUGAGUAACACGUGAGUAACCUGCCCUUGACUCUGGGAUAAGCCUGGGAAACCGGGUCUAAUACUGGAUACGACCUUCCCGCGCAUGCGGUGUUGGUGGAAAGCUUUUGCGGUUUUGGAUGGACUCGCGGCCUAUCAGCUUGUUGGUGGGGUAAUGGCCUACCAAGGCGACGACGGGUAGCCGGCCUGAGAGGGUGACCGGCCACACUGGGACUGAGACACGGCCCAG